GAGCGAAGCUCCAUCUCAAAAAAAAAAGAAGUUGUAUCUGUAAUCCAGAUGAAAAGUGAUAGUGACUUGGAUCACUGAACAUGAUGAGAAAGAAGGGGUUGGAUUCUGGAUAUAUGUUGAAAGUAGAACAUUUCUGGCAGAUAGAAAGUGGGGAGUAAUCAAAAGAAAGGAUUUGAGGAAGAUUCCAAGGUUUUGGGCCUGAGCAACAUAAAAACAUGAGAAGGAGGAAAAUCCUUCCUUGUAUACUUUGUGCUUCUAAUGAUUCUGUGUGUCAUCUCUGUUUCAGCUUUCAUUCUACUCUCCAAACUGGUGAAAACCAGUUCUAGUGGCAUUGUGAAUGCUCUUAGUAAAUUCAGUGUAGACCUAUGAAAAUUACUUUACUGGCUGUCACUUCUGAGGACACUAUCACCUGUAGUACUGACUGAACAAUGUAACAUCAACAUGAGGAUAUUUGGGACACCCAGAAGAAUUAGAAGACAUAGCCUCUCUCUUCCUUAAGCUUUACUGUCUAUUUCACCAUGUAGGAUAGGUAAGCCCUGCCUGGGUUUGGACCUUAGGCACAGGGCCUGGGGGUGGCAGUGGGUGCUUUCCGGUUGACUUUGGAUCAUUGUGUGAUGUAAAUGGGGGUCCAGGUAAGAUGGCUUUGGGGAAGCAAGACCCAGAAAUAUUAAGUCUCAAGUUAAGGGUUCACCAGUCAGGAGGAAAAGACCUGUCCAGGACAUCAUUAUGUAUAUUUUUCCAGUUAACUUAGAAGGCAUUUUUCUACCUCUUUUUUCCAAAUAUUUAAGAAAAGCCUUGCCUUAAAAUACUAACACCAGGUCUAGUGGGCAAGUAGGGGAAAGAUUAAUACAUAUGAAAAGAAAUACAAAUAAGUGUAAAUAAGCAUAAAAAUGUGUAUUAUAACAAAAGGUCAUAUCCACAAUGAAUUAUCUUUAUUACGCUUUUUCCUACUUUAUUUAUGGACUUAAUUUGCUGUCACCUUAGGCAACUACUUUUAACAGUAUCUCAUUUGACAAUUUGAUGUUGAUAUCUCUCUUUUUUCUAAAUUUAGUUGAAUGCAAAGAAAAGCUUUGAAAUGCAAAUAAGUGAUCAUUUCUCCUGCCCUCAAGAAAGGCUGGAACAUGGCAAACCUUGAAUCAGUCUUGGAAAGAGUCAUCUAAUUACAGGGAGGUGUAAGAGUUUUAGGCCUUACCUCAGACAGAUAAGGACUAGCUAUACAUGAAAUGCAGACUUUGGCUAACUUUCUUUCCCAAAUCAGAUUUUCAUGAGACAUUUUCAGUUCUUUGAGUGAGACAAAUGAAUUUCUUUAAUAUUUUACACAUCCAUUGUAAAAUUCAAUGCAAAAACAACUCUAGUGUCAAAUAUAAAUUAUUUUGUUUUUUGUUUUUAAUUUUGAAUAAUCUUCUCUUUUUUGGCAUUAGAACAAAUUGUAAUUACUGAAGUCAGAAGAAUUAAAAAGCACUAUUUAAGAAUUUACAUUAGAUAUCAAAAUUGAAGGAGAAUACAAAGCCUAGUUUAUUAAUGGAGUAAAGUUUCUGAGGUAAGAUGGAGCCAGUUUUAGGUUUCAAGAAGAAAAUACAAUAUUCAGUUUUAGAAGGAAAGGAGACAACACAAUUUGGCAAUGGCUUAGAUUCUUAUUAUAAAAAAUACUAUUUCAUUUGUCUUUAUAAUUCAACCUAACAAUAUGCUUUGCUCUUUAACAAAAAGUGUUAUUUUUUAUAUCACUGUGGGUACAUUUCUCUGAGACUAAGCAAACUAUUUGUAAAAGGGUGGUUGAAUGGAAGAGGGACCAUUUUCUUUUAAGUGACCUUUCCCCUGCCCCUUGCAUCACAGAGCCUGAAUUGAUCCCGUGCACUCAGCAUUGUUAGCAUUGGAUCAGCCCUAACCUGCUUGUAUUUCUUUUGCUGCAGAGCAUAGACCCAUAAUCCUGGAUCAAACAUGUUGAAGUCUCACUCCUUCAUCUACUCAAGUCGACCUCUAACAAAAUUCUGUUUUUCUCUCCGUUUGUCUGUGAAAAGAGUUUUCAUUCUAAACUCUUCCAGUUUAACAGAGGGAUAAGGUUAACAAGACAGUAAAUCCCCCUUCCAAAAAAAAAAAAAAAAAGUGGUCCACAGUUCCCACUGAAUUGGAGCCAAAAACUCUGCCAGUUUUGCUCUCCUAUCUCCGAGCUGUAGCCUGACCCUUCGUAUGACCAGUGGGGCUUGUUGCACAAGAUCUAUCUGGGCGCCUUUCUAAAAGUGCUAUCUUCGUCCAUAUUUCAAAACACUCACAGAUAUUUUAUCAUUAAUUAGUAUUCAUAUUAUGUCUCAAACAAUCUGUUCAAGAAUAGGGGAAGUGAACUAGUUGAACAGCUCUUCUGUUUGUCUGGUAAUUAACAUGGAUGAUGUAUGUAGAGCCGAAGGCCUUAUAAGGGGAGGAGGUGGUCAAGUGUUGGGCAGGUAAUCACUGGAACAUUUAAAUGCUUACCUAUUUUGGAUGCUGGGUUACUCCAAAGAAAAUUGUACUUGGCAAACAGGGUGGGGAGACACAGUCCUUUUUAAAAAUAAACCCAUGCCUCUUUGAUUCACAGCACCCUGGAUUUGCUUUUCAUCAUGUUAACAUGCCACUUGGGAGCUGGCUGGACUCCCUUGUUCAGUGACAUAUAUUUCAUAGUGUUUUUUUAAAAACCAUUUGUUCUUUCAACCACAACAUGCUUUGAAUUUCUCUUUCAAAUUUGAGGAUGUAUAUAUAGAUUGAUCAAAACAAUAUUUUUAACAUUCCAAACAAUUUAGAAAGAUAGUGGAUGGGUGUCAGUUAAUGUAUUAUGUUCCUCUCUUCCUCCUCCCCCUCUUCAGCUGCUAAUCUUAGAACUUGUGUGCCAAAUUGUGUAAGAUAUUCUUCCAAUAGCUACAUGUGUGACUCCUUUGUGAGCUCUACAGACAGUUAUGAGGACAGAUUUGGAGUUGCAUAUGGGACUGUCACAUGGUUUGAUUUCCUUGUCUUCAGGCACUGAGAUUCUUUUCACUGAGCUUUAAUACUGAGGAAUUUUUAGUUGUGGUAAAAGUUUAGCAAAGUCUCUAUUAAAUAAUUUACACAUUCUGGGAAUAGGGAAGGAAAAAAGUUUUUAUUCACCACCACUCUGUAUUUGGGAUCUAUAUAUACUAAAUAGUUCAUGUGUUUACUCUUUCUAAUAGUGAAAAAAAAACUUAGGGAUUUAUCACAGAAUUUUUAUGAAAAUCAGAAAAGAGUAGAGCCUUUAUUAUUUCCUUGCUCUUUUGGAGCAAGAUCUAGUAAACAUCUCAACAGAAAAAGUAGCAGAUGCUUUGUAAAAAGGUCUCGUAUCACUUAUGUCCAAUUAUAGAGGCUGAUUUGCAAAAAAAAAAAAAAAAAAUUGAUCUCUCUAUGUCCUUAGGAGCCAAAAUUUCCAUGGCAUUAGUCUGUGAAAUGAUAAGAUGCAAAUUCAUUUUCAACUUUAAAGACACAUAUUUGAAAUCUUGCUUUUGUGACCUGAAACCCACAGCCCUCAUCCCAUAAAUACAGUGCCACCCUUGAGAAACACACAGACUUGAAACAACAUCUUUCUCCUAGUCCUAUUUUAAACAUUCCUCAAGAAUAAAUAAUAUCAUAGUGAUAUCUUUGUCCAUUAAUUGGGGCAUUAAUUAUGACAUUAUAAAAGUGUUAAUUACAUGUACUCAGAACUAACUCCUUUAAGGCCCAGCAUAUGACUGGGUCUUAAAAUAGUGCAUGGCUGUUGUACACUAUUUAAAAUAGUGUAUGACAUACAUCCUUAAAGUAGUGUAUGACUAUUCAUCCUUGUAUUAAUUUUACCCUCUAAAACAAAUACAGUGGUUAAUUACUGGUCCAUGAGUAAACUCAGUCAACUUUGUUGCACUGGGGGAAAGUCUUAAUUCAGAAAUGAUAAUGAUGGCUAAUAAUAUAAUAAUAAAUUGCUACAUUUUUAUUUCCUGCUCUGACUCUGAACUCUAUGUAAUAGAUAUUUUAUAUACAUCUUAUCCCCAGAAUAACCUGCCAAAGUAGGUAUUAUCACCAUUUGUCCAGUUAAUUAAGAACUUGGGAAAUAGCUUGAAUAAAGAGAGUAGUGUUUUCUUAUUUCAGCCCUUAAUUUCCCUUUGCCGUUUUAGGUUGGAGAAGUCCUGUAUCUUACUGAGCAAAUUGCCCUGGUACCUUGCACAAUGAAAUUUGCUGGUGGUGGAAUACAAAGAAAAGCUACUGUGUCCUUAAGCCAUACCCUGAAAAUCCUGGAAGCUACACAUGGAGGCACCAGACUUCAGCCCAGGAUUACAGCCCACUGUUAUGUAAUGAACAGCCAGCUCAUUGCCACUGCCUGGGGUAACUGGCAGAACUUAAAGACCCAUUAAAAGGAAAACCACAAGUGUGAUGCAAUGGCACAAGUAGUAGUAUCCUGAUGGUGGUGGUAAUUCCUAGCCUUCCCAGAGUUGCUGCAGCCAAGUAGCACAUCACUGCAGUGGCAGAAGAACCAUUUAAAGGGAAGAAUUUUGCUUUGAAGAAGAAAACUAAGGAUUUUCAAAUGGAAUGUGAAGUUGUGGCAUCCAGUUCUGCUUCUAGUGCAUCAGUCCUCAUCUCUUUACAAUGAAUGUCACCUUCUACCUCCUGAACUGAUGUACAUAGGACUCUAGAGGACAUGAUAACUCUAUUUGUACAAGAAACGGGAAGAACCUAAAAUUCACCAAGCUGCACCAUUGUGUUUUAGAAUAUUCUAUUUCAAAUGACAACAGUUCUGCAAGCAGGCAAAACAACAUAAUAAAAGUUAUGUCCCACCAACACUGUGGUAUUAUUAUCUUUACACUGCAGGGAAGGGAGCAAGGCACAGAUGCAUCUGGUCAUGAUUCCAAGAUCACUCACCUGGCUCCUUCAUGGAUAGUAAGGUAGAGAAUCUUUGCUUCUGAGUUCUGGUUCAGUGUCUUUUUCACUGCUCUCCUGUCUGCUGCAAGAAGAAAGGGAAAAUAGGUGUAUGGAAAAUAGAGAAGUGGCUUCGUACCAUGUAAGUCAUGAGAAAGCCUAUCAAUGACUUUGAAAUCAGCUCAUAAAGGGAAAAACAGAGACUAUACUAGUAAAUUCAGUGCCUAAUUAACAUAAAUCUUUUUAAGCCUUGGGAUUUUCCGUGGUUUAAUCCUUUGUGAAAUAAAAUGCCCCAUAAUGGCUCAUAACGCACCAUCCUGUGGCAGCUUUAGUUUUGGGGAAAUGAUACAUGUCUUCACAAAACAAAUAAUUCAGAGCAUAUCUCUGUAUACUUGUAUGCUCAUUUUUAAGGGCAGGGUCUACACAUUCACAUUUUCAUGUAUAUGAAUAGGAAAGAUUGGCUGAACCAUAUUAAUUUAAUUAAUAUAAAACAUGGUGCUCUAAGAUCCCAGCAUUUAUUUUUCCUUCACUUAGCCUGAAACAAUACUAGAAGGAAAUUCAACUGGAUAUUCUCUAAUACAUUUAAAAUAUAAAAUAAAGCAAUGAAAAUGUGACAGAAACAAGCUCCUCUCAUUCAGGAAAGAAGGAAUGAACACAGAGCCUGACAGAACCUGAUUGUUGUUCUACUACGAGUAGUAUUAGAGAAAAUAUCAGCCUGGUAAAAUGUAUCUCCUUUUUGCAUCUUGCCUGCUUAGCUGCUGACAUUCCACAGUCUCAUAUUAUUCUCUGAAUAAAUUAUACUCAUUUUGUUUAAAAAUUUUUUAACAUGCAUUUAAAUAGUGCAGUUUCCUGGGGAAUAGGAACUGUGCUGAGCUGUGUGUUAUACUAAUGGCAUUCAGUGCAGAAUGAGUCAUCAUGGUUUUUAUUUAUUCAUUCAUCCUUGGAUCCUUUUAAAAGUCUCCAAGGCCCUAAUGACCAUCAUUAUCAUCAGUAAAAACUGCGUUCUGGUGAAAAGGCAAUAGGCAUUAAAUUGAGAGGCAGCAUUAAAUUAUUGGUAAAGAGGACUUGAAAUCCUACUACAUGCAUAUUCCUGGACACAAUAUACUAAAAGUUCAUAUAGUAGCAGUCGAGCAAUCUUUUUAUAAAGUUUGUGAUUAAGAUAUUCUCUUCUCUUUUCAAGGCAAUAUCAUUUAGCUCAGAAGAAAAUAAAAUAUAGGCCAGUGUCUAUGUUCCAAGCGUAACCAUUGGAAUUCAAAGGUUUCAGCCAUAGCAUUUUUUUAAUUAUAAAUAAAACCUUUUAAAAAUUAUCAGUAUUAAAAUUUUAUUUCAAGCAUUUUCCCUACCUACUACAGUUCCUUGAAUGUAAUAAACAUUGUCUAGUCAGUGAGUAAAAAGGCAAUGAGAAUAGUUUUAAUAAACUUUGUUAAGUCUUUUCUGUCUCAGACAUACUUUAAAUAUUCCAGUGUCAUUCAGUGAGCUAAUAGAGGGCUUACUUCUCAUAUAAUCUCCAGCAACAGAAUUAAACUAGAUCCACAGGGCCAAAAUACACUCAUUCAGGGAUGAACUUAGCAUGGCAUCUGAAAGUAUGGGAAAACUAGUACCUUGCGGUAAAUAAAGAGCACCAUUACACUUGGCAGUCCUCGUAACUUUCCCUUAUCCACAAUCCCAUCGCAAUUUGGAUAGUUGGUGAAGUUCAGAAAGCUAUCAGGAAGAGAGAGGACUAGAAAAGUUGACUUCUUAGGUUUGUGGAAACAUUGUAGGUUACUUCAGAGUGUUCUAAAUUUGAAGCAAGUCUGAGUUAGAGAUCAUUAUCUGCUAUAUAUAAAUGGUUUUUUCUAUUAAACUAUCUAUCUAACCUUACGCGUUGCCAGAUGUCUGAUAUUGAAGCAGGUGGUCAGGUAUUUCAACUUUCUGCCUUUUUUUUUUUUUUAAAGAGACCCAAAAUCUCUGCGUGGAACAGAAUACCAUGUAAUUUGCAGUGUAACAUUUACAGGCUAUUGCCAAUGAAUAUUCUAGCUUUCUGAAUGUGGUUCUUUUUUAAUUUGGUCAAAAAAUACUUUUAAUUGAGAGUGACAUAUAUUUUUGAAAACAACUGACAAUCUCUUCAAAGCCUCAAUGUCCUUUCUAUAAAAUGGAAAUGCUAGCUAGCCUUGUUCACAUUUAGGGUGGUUAUAGUAUUCAAUCAAGACCAUCUAUGUGAAGGCAUUUUUGUUAAUUGUUAGGAACUGUAUCAACCCAAGUUGUUGCUGUUGCUCUUUUUGUUAUUCUUCUGAGCCUUCAGGGGUUUUAAGAAGGAUAAAAUUGUGUUUUCAAUCUUUAUCACAUUCUUUAAUAAACAGGCUUUUGUUUGCCACCAAAUUUUAAAGGAUAAUUUAAAAUUAUGUCUAGUUUUAUUGUUGAUUAUUUAAAGAGAUUUCCCUAAUCUGGGCAUAUAGUGAGGCAGAGGUUGUUAAAGAGAAUUUGCUUGCAUUGACACUCCAAAUUCUUCUGGCCCUUCAGUACUUCUACAGGAAAAUCACAGCCUUUCCUGUUGCCUCCUGCAAAGUCAUGUCUUAUCUCUCUUAAACUCCUCUUCUCUGAUGCUUCAGAAUGAUAGAAUUUUCUCCCUCCAGCAUGCCCCACCUCCCUUACCAGAGAAGAUUGACCAAUGCCUCAUCUCAGUAGCAGGCUGAUGAUGGGGUCUCCUUCGGAAAGAGUUCUGCAGUUUGACAUUUUUUCAUCAUCCUUUUUAUUUUAAUCCUUAACAUUACAAGUACUCAUUUUUUAAAAGAACUCUGAAUGAAAUGUAUGUAGUUUCUUUUGCAUUCUUACUACACUAAUAGCAUCUUUAUUAACUGUCUAUAAAAUAUUAAUGGAGGCCAAAACAGGAUCUGUACUUCUAUGGUUCAUGUUUUUGAGCUGGAAAAAUCAUUCUUAACUCUUAGUAUUACAGGAAAGGGAAAACAUCUUUUUCCUUUUACCCUCCUUAGUUCUUGAAUGGGGCUCCUUUAACAAACGACAGAUUAGUAGGAAAAAGGCAUACAAAUUUAUUUAAAGUAAGUUUUUUGUGACACAGGAGCCUUCAUAAGGAAAUGAAGACCCAAAGAAAUGGUUAAAUCUGACGAUUUUUAUGCUAGGUUUGCUGAAAAGUGGAAAGUCAUGGAAAAAUGGAUUAGGACAAAGAGGAUAAGUAUAAUAAAUGGAGGGGAAGGCUAGGAAGGCCUGUUAGUUCUGAUUCCCUUCAGUGUCCCGUAUUCAGAGGUAAGAAUGCUCCUUUCCUCAGGGUUGAAGGAGGGCACCUCCUGUAUGAGAGGAGUAUAACCUGCUUCACAAGAGAAGGACAGAAAAGGCCAGAGAGAACUUCCUGUGGUUUCUCAAAUUCCUUCAGCUUAAAAUAUUCAAUAUGCCAAGAUACCAUAGUUUGGCUUAUCAUUUCCUGAAACCCAUCAGUUUCAAAAGUGAAAUAAUGCUCUGCACUAUCACCAAGUGUAGCAUGUAUGUUAGGUAAUUUAACCUUUUUUGUUACAAUAAGAAACCUGUCCCCAAAUUAACUGAUACGAUGUAUAACAGUUAAAACUUCAUAGGCAUUUCAAAUUGUAUUGAUAGCUGGGAGUUUCUAGACAAUAUAAAAUUUUCUAAAUCUUGUAUACUCUACAGCUUCUGAAGUAAAAUUGCCAUCCUGAAAUCUAGGUUGUUGAGAAUUAUGUACUAAGAUUAACUGGCAAAGUAGACUAGGGUCUUCUAAUUACUGAUCACAAUGACUUAAGAAAACAUGUUUAAACUAAUUAAAGGUUUAAGCAGUGUUUGCAGUUGAAAUAACUUCUGGGCUCAGCAUUUGCCCAGUUCAUCACACUAGGAACAAAAUAUUCUAAUCCUUCAAAUAGAUUAAAUUGAGUGCUGAGAAAUUAAAUUUCACACAGUAUCUAUAAGUAUAUUUAUAUAGGACUGAAAUUAAUUAUCUAGAACAAUUUGAGUUUCAACACCUAUAGUUAUGGAAUUUGGAAAUGUAGAAAACAGAGGGCUCUUAUUGUUAUUGACAUAUUUGAAAGCUUCACCACCAAACCUGUUCUUCAGUAAAUUUUUAUGUGGAUUUUUAAAAUUUUUCUUUAAAAUUGACUUUAGUUCUCUAUAAGUAAAUCAAAGUGUUCCCCCAAAGUGAACAGUAGAAUAAGAUCAGACAUUAUUUCCACUGUACAAAACUGAUAAUUCAAUCUGACAGAUAUUCAUUGGGGCACAUAGACUAAUAAGACAAAAUCCCUGCCUACUUGCAAUUUAAGUCUUAGAAUAAAUAGAGGGUGUGCAAUGAAGGUAUCAGACUGAGAGCUCAACUCACUUUGUGUGGUAGCUACUGUAUUUGGGGGAUUGAUCCUGAUAGCCCUAAAUAUUAAUCUAGAAGAAGGCCAGUAGAGUAAUUCUUAUCAUCCAAUCUUUUACCCGUGGUUGGGAUAAGCCUUGCUUUGGAGAAAAUGUUAUAUAUGUAAGUUUACCAAACAGGUAAGCUUAAGGGGAGAAGUGAAUUUAUUAUUCUAUUACAAAAUGGGGGGAUGGUCUCUCUCCUAAAAGAUUCAUUGGUAAGGUCAUUUAACUAGCAAACACCUGUAGUGGCAUUAACAUAGAAUCAGUUUUCCAAAAAAAAUCAAUUUACGUUUAAUUUUCCAAAAGUGACCACCCAUCAGGCCAAACAAUGGCAAUGAUUAUUGAGUGAGCAUUUCUUAAGAUGAGGACAUCUUUCAAAAGUUGACAUAUUUGGUUGGCAUUCACUGUUAAACUGACAGUAUACCUGAUCAUUCCCACCAAGCCAGAAGUAUAGGGUAAAAAUAUGGCAAGGGACCCUUCUAAAAUUUGGCUUCUUUUUCCACCUACAGAAACACUAUAUUAUUACAACUCAAAACAGAAUAUGGGCAAUAAAAUACUUUUAUACCAAACUGUUAAUUUAGAAUGAAUACAUUAAAAAAUAAACAAACAGUUGCUGACUGCAUAAGGAAGAAAAUUUCACUGCUGAUACUUAACAGAUUUUUUUUUAAGAAAGCAGUGAUUUUGUCAAGUUUCAUAGUUCAGGCAUUAGAGCUCUGCUACUGCUCCAAAAAAAUAAAAAUAAAUAAUAACUAGUUAAAUUAGUGUUUGGGAAAUGGAUUAGAUUGUAAUGUAUGCAAGCAAUUAAGCAACACUGGCUUGAUUCACUUUGAUGUCUAAAAUGGCAUUUUAAAAAAUGAAAGUAGCUAAAUUUGGCCCUGAUAAAAUAUAUAGCAGCAAUGGGUUAGGAAUUUUUCAGUUUUGCCGAAAGAGUCCAAUCAAACAAUCCAUAUAUUAGGUGGCCGUUAACAUGCUGGCAGCUGAAUUUUUUACAUCAGUUUCCAAGGUUGCACAGUAAUUACAUCUACUGUGAGUCAUUUUUGCAGCAUAUUUUAUAAAACUUUUACAGAUUUGCUGGGAAGUGAUUAUUCAAAGUCACCUUUUAUAGAUUCUACCGUGAAUAUUAGACAAUUCUUUGAAAAUGUUAGUGUUUACCACUCACAUUGCUUCUGGUUUAAGUGCAGCUGGCAUUUGAGGGUUUAGUAUAGUAUAUGAGUAGAACUUCCUUUUCUUUGUAGACCCCCUGUUCCCUAGCAUUGCUAGUUUAUGUUCCCACUGAGCUACUGCCAAAACAAAUAAAUCCAGUUGCCUUUUGCUGCUCAAGGCCAACCAAGCAACCGUGGAAAGAAUUUGUUGUUCUGAGCAUUUGUCCUAGCAUGUCAUUACAAGGUAGCGAUGAGCAAUAUCAUGACCAACGCAGUCCACAAAUGGCUGGCUCAUUUAAAUUGCUGACGAAUUUAGAUGUAAUAUUUUUGUGCUUGCCCUUUUAUUCUUAUUCCCAGUUAUAUCCAGUGAGUGCCCAGAGAAGUAUUUGAGGCUGUGAUUGGAUAAACUACUUAGCAUAACUUUUAGAUCCUCUGCUUAUUAAAUCAAAUAUACAUUAGCUUGUUCUAUUUGCAUUAGUACGUUUUCACAGCUGAAUGAAAAGUCCUGAUUGUUUCUUCAGAUUGAUAUUUUAAACAUAUCUUACUGUUGUGUUUCAGGGAUGGCAUUAUAAUAAUUUUAGGCUAUAAAGGCCAGGUAAGGAAAAUAACAGGUUGCAUUUUAGGGAAUGUUGCGUGAUUUCACUUCAGGUCAUUAUCGGUGUUGGAACUGGGGAAUCGGCAUUGGAAUUCAGGAGGGGGAUAGAUAAAUGGCAGUAAAACUCAGGCUCUAUGGAAGGUUAAAAACUAAAAGGGAAGAGAACAAACUACUCUUUGUUUUCUGGGGUCAAUAGCAGUCUCAGCACAAACUCCAGCAAAGCCCAAAUAACAUGUGUUAUCUCUAGCUCAAAAGAUGUGGGCGUCAGAAGAUAAUAGUUGGCAUAGUAGAACCAAUGUCUUUCACCUUUCUGCUCACCAAGGAUCCAAAAAGCAAAUACAAUUGUGUUUCUCCAUUUUCCUCACUCUUUCACCAUGGUAGUAAGCGUGUUUGUAAGCCUUGCUGACUCCUCUACCUUUGCGUUGAAAUCUAUUUACAGGGUCUGCAUGUUGUGACCAUUUGCUUGUGGGGGUCCCUCACUUCUCAGUCAAAGGAGAACACAUUUUUGAAAUCAGAUUUUAGACCUUAAAAUUUAUAAAUAGCAAUUUCUACAUUUUUAGAAAAGCAUUUGAAAACUGCUUAUUUAUUCAACACAUAUCUAGAGAGGGUCUGCUCUUGGGUAGGGGCUCUUGAUAGCAGUGUGGAUUUGGUGGUAAAGACAAACAUGUCUUCAUGGAGUUUACAUUCUGAUGGAAGAGAAUUGAUUAAAAAACACUGUAAGAGCUGUGAAGAGAAAAAAGCAGGGUAAGGGGGAGAGAAAAACAAGGUAGUCACUAUUUUAGAUAAAAUGUUUAAGAAAGGCCUUUGUGAGGAAGCCACAUUCAUACAGAGACCUAGAUGAAGUAAGGGAAUGAGUCUUGCCAAGCUCCGACAGUAGAGUAUUUCAGAAGAACUAACUAGCUCCUGCAAGGCUUUGAAGCAAGAAUGCAAUGAACAUGCUUAGAAGCAGCAAAUGCAGCUGGAACAGAGAAAAUAAACAAAAAGUUGGAAGGAUGGAGAUAUAAACAGUGGCCAGAUGAUGGAGAACAUUUGAGAUGCCACUUAGGCAGCUGGAUUUUAUUCUGAAUGUCCUGGGAUACCAUGAACUAUUUCAGGCAGGGAAAGUAGCAUUUUCUGACACACCUUUCUAAAAUAUAUCUCAGCUGCUGUGUGGAGAAUAUUAUGUAGGAAAUAGCGUUGGGCAUAUUAAAGAGUGGAACCAAGGGGAUCCAUUAGAAGGCUAUACUGUAGUUUAUGCCAACAAUGUACAUGUCUUGGGCUACAUUAGUAGCAGUUGAGGUGGCAAGAAAUAAUCAAGAUGCAGGAUAUAUAUUGAAGACUUGAUAGGAUUUGUUGGUGAAUUUGGAUGAGGAAUGCGGGAAAGAAAAUCAAGGAUGGGCUCUGGCCCUUUAGCCUGAGCAAGUGCAUAAAUACUGGUGCCACUUAUCAAAAUGGGGUAACCUGGGGAGGAGCAGUUUGGAAAGCAUAGAGGAGUGUAUUAGUCAGUUUGGGCUGCUAUAACAAAAUACCAGCAAAUGGAUGCUUAAACAACAGAAAUUUAUUUCUCACAGUUCUAGAGGCUGGGAAGUCCAACAUCAAGACGCUGGUCGAUUUGGUUCCUGUUGAUGGCUGUCUUGCUGGUAUCUCUCUAUGUUUUCACAUAGCAGAGAGACAAAGUGAGAGAGAGAGAGAGAAGAAGAGAGAGAGAGAGCGCUAGCGAGAUAGCUCUUGGUGUCUCUUUUAAAAGGAUACCGAUCCCAUCAGACCAGGCCCUCACUCUAUGACCUCAUCUAACCCUAAUUACCUCCCAAAAGCUCCAUGUCCAAAUACUAUCAUAUUGGAGAUUAACAUUUCAACAUAUGAAUUUGGGGGAGACACAGUCUAUCCAUAACAGGGAGAUAUGGUUUUGGUCAUUUUUCUGCUUUCAUUAACUGCAGAUGCAGGUAUGUCUAUCAGUCACUCAAGUAAGUAUGAACAGUUAAAUACAGGAGUGUGGAGCUCAGGGAGAGUUUGAGGUGGAGUUCAGGGAGAGUUUGAGGUGGGCAGUAUAAAUCUGGAAGGCAUCACAUAAAGAUUUAAAACCACAAAAGUGAUAUGAAUACCUAGGAAGUUGAAGGAGGAAGAAAAAUGCCAAGGACUGAAAGAGUUGGCAGGUUUAGUAAGGACACUAAGAAGAAGUUCCUAAGGCAACAAGAAUACUAGCAGAGCAUGUGUCUCAGAAACCAAAGAAAGAAUAAUGCAUUUUAAGAGAGAGAGAGAGAACUUAGUUGUGUCAAAUGCUGUUGAUGGGUCAAAUAAGAACUAAGAACUGGCCUCUGAUCCUAAGCGAAUUAACACAGAACAGAAAACCAAAUACCACAGAUUCUCACUUGUAAGUGGAAGCUAAAUAUUGAGCACACUUGAACACAAAGAUGGAAACCAUAGACAUGGAGGCCUGCUUGAGGGAGUUCAGUGAGAGGAGGGUGAGAGUAAAAAACUACUUAUUGGAUACCGAGGUGGUGUCAAAAUCAUCUGUACACCAAACCCCAGCAACAUGCAAUUUAACCAUGUAACAAACCCAUACAUGUGCCCCCAAACCUAAAAUAAAAGUUGAUAAAAGGAAAAAAAAAAGAAUUGA